rnacentral:lncRNA from 1 species
UUGUUUGCAAUUUUUGUUGUGUUUGGACACUUUGACAAACACGAUUACCUGUUUUUUGUUGGCGUGUCCUAUCAGAUAUGAGAAGAGGCAUUCGAACAUUCCUGCUCAUGUAUCACCUUGCUUCCGUGUGAAGGAAGGAGAUCAUGUCAUUAUUGGCCAAUGCAGGUUAGAUUUUUACGAGGAACCAUUUUUGUCUGUAUUGACUUGUGGAAUUUAUUGUUGCAUGUUAAUAUUUAUUUGUCCAUCUUAUUGUCUUUUUUGUGUGCAAUAUAUAGACCCAUCUCAAAGACAGUGAGGUUCAAUGUGUUGAAAGUGAUCCCAGCAGGAUCCUCCACUGGUGCGAAGAAGGCGUUCGCCGGACUUUGAGAUUUUAGUUCGAUUUUAGUUCUCAUUUCUCAUUGAAGAGCAAUGUAACCGUAAGAGAUAGUGAUGUUUCAGAUGUUUCAUUGCCAUUGCAUGAUCUGAUCAUUUUUUUAAUUUCUUUAAAUGCUUUAAUGUAUGAGCUGUUAAAUACACUACAGAUUCCAUAUUCAUUAUGGUCCUUGAAUAGUAGUUGCUUCCAUUUUUGACAUUCUAUUGCAGUCUUGCAGACACAGACACUCUUCAUUUCUGUUUAAUGAUUAUCACUAUUUUACUUUGAGAUCCUUCACUAUUUUACUUUCACCAUAAUAUGGGAAAACUAAUCCAUUCUUCAGGAUUAAGUUGUAUUAGACUUGGACAGUAUCAAUGUUAUUUCCAUUUUUAAUUAAUCUAAAGUGAAUAUUUUCCCUUUAUCCGUAUGAAUAAGCAUCUUGGAUUAGUAAUUCUAUAAAAUGGAGACAGAUGAAAUUUUGCAAUAUGUGGUUUGUAUAUAUAUAGAAGACUUGUAGAUAAGUUGGAUUUGACUGAAAUGGAUUAGUGACUAUACCUUUGGUUAUGUCAUACUAAGGAGAUAUGAUUAGAUAGAGUGACCCAAUCACUAAUCACUAGAGGAACUGUAUAAAGUAUAGGCAAAAAUAUUAAAAAUUGAUUUAUAGCCAAAAAGGUAUUAGAAAAAUGUAUACACUAAUAGUAUAUUAAUAGUGUAUGAAUUUUAUACAAUGUUAUUGUAUUAUUUACUAUUUAUGUUAUAAAAAUUAUGAAAUUAUUAUAGACAAUAUAUGAUACAAAAUCAUGGUAUUUUUUGGACGAGUUUAAAAUCUGUGCAUUUAUAGUAUAAAAAUUGUAUGCUAAUAUGUUAAUUCCUUUAAAAUCCAAAUUGUGAUAGCAAUAAGCUGAUGUUGUUCAGUAUCUGUUAUGCCUCGUAUGGUCGCAUAGCUUAUGUUGUAAUCAUUAUGUUCCUCUAUUAUUGCUUAUAAAAUCAUCUGUUAGUUUUUAAUGUAUUUGUUUUAUUGCCCCUUUUUUAUCUUGCAGGAACAUAUAUUGACAAGAAGUGCCCCUUCACUGGCAAUGUUUCCAUCCGGGGACGUAUCAUAGCUGGUACUUGUCACAGCGCUAAGAUGACAAGGACUAUUAUUGUGAGGAGGAAUUAUCUUCAUUAUAUUAAGAAGUAUCAGAGGUAUUUCUCUUUCAUAUUCAUGUUGUUUGCAAUUUUUGUUGUGUUUGGACACUUUGACAAACACGAUUACCUGUUUUUUGUUGGCGUGUCCUAUCAGAUAUGAGAAGAGGCAUUCGAACAUUCCUGCUCAUGUAUCACCUUGCUUCCGUGUGAAGGAAGGAGAUCAUGUCAUUAUUGGCCAAUGCAGGUUAGAUUUUUACGAGGAACCAUUUUUGUCUGUAUUGACUUGUGGAAUUUAUUGUUGCAUGUUAAUAUUUAUUUGUCCAUCUUAUUGUCUUUUUUGUGUGCAAUAU